rnacentral:rRNA from 1 species
AGUGAACGCUGGCGGAAUGCUUAACACAUGCAAGUCGAACGGCAGCACAGUGAGAACUUGGGCUGCCGGGGGGGGAGGGGCGGGAGGGACAGGAGUACAUCCGAAUCUACUGUUUCGUGGGGGAUAACGUAGGGGAACCUACGCCAAUACCGCAUACGAUGUACGGGGGAAAGCAUGGGACCUUCGGAGCUUGCGCGGUUGGAUGAGCGGAUGUCGGGUUAGUUGGUUGGCGGGGUACAGGCCCACCAAGGGGACGAUCGGUAGCUGGUCUGAGAGGAUGAUCAGCCACACUGGAACUGAGACACGGUCCAGACUCCUACGGGAGGCAGCAGUGGGGAAUGUUGGACAAUGGGCGCAAGCCUGAUCCAGCCAUACCGCGUGGGUGACGAAGGCCUUCGGGUUGUAAAGUCCUUUUGUUGGGAAAGAAAAGCAGCCGGCUAAUACCACGCGGUUGUGACGGUACCGUAAGAAUAAGCACCGGCUAACUACGUG